rnacentral:rRNA from 1 species
AUUGAACGCUGGCGGCAGGCCUAACACAUGCAAGUCGAGCGAGAGGCGGACGGGUGAGUAAUGUCUGGGAAACUGCCUGAUGGAGGGGGAUAACUACUGGAAACGCUGGCUAAUACAGCAUACGAUCAGAUUUGCCCAGAUGGGAGUAGCUAGUUGGGGGGGUAACGUCUCACAUAGGCGACGAUCCCUAGCGGGUCUGAGAGGAUGACCAGCGACACUGGAACUGAGACACGGUCCAGACUCCUACGGGAGUCAGCAGUGGGGAAGAUUGCACAAUGGGCGCAAGCCUGAUGCAGCCAUGCCGUGUGUGUGAAGAAGGCCUUCGGGUUGUAAAGCACUUUCAGCGGGGAGGCGUUACCCGCAGAAGAAGCACCGGCUAACUCCGUGCCAGCAGCCGCGGUAAUAC